rnacentral:lncRNA from 1 species
AUAAGGGGAAGGAGACAUGGUUUUGUACGAUUCUUUAACAUGAAGGAUGAGAGUCUUCUAGCAACGAAGCUAGAUAACAUCUUGAAAUAUUGGUAAUAGAGAGAUCUCUGCAAAUAUUCCAAGGUUUCAAAGGAGGAACAAUGGAGAAGCUCAUCAAAAUGCAGACAAGAGGAUAGUAGCAAACUGUGGAGAAGUUAAUAUAGGUUUAAGCCAAAGAAAAAGAUCCUGCAACAAUAUAGUAACAAGUGAUUUAAUAAAAAAUAAUCAAGGGUGGGCCAAAAGGAAGGGGAAACAUUAUAUGGUGGUAAGAGAGACGCAAGAUUAUACGCUCAUGUAAAAAAAAUAACAACUUCCAAUCAAUAAUGACAAAUUACAAAAGAGAAACGAAGUCUAUCUUUGCAUAUAUGGAAUUCAACAUAGUAAAAGAUUCAAGAAAGCUUACAUAUGCAUAGUGGAGAAAUUUGAGAUGGCAUACAA